GACGAACGCUGGCGGCGUGCUUAACACAUGCAAGUCGAACGGAAAGGCCCUGCUUUUGUGGGGUGCUCGAGUGGCGAACGGGUGAGUAACACGUGAGUAACCUGCCCUUGACUUUGGGAUAACUUCAGGAAACUGGGGCUAAUACCGGAUAGGAGCUCCUGCUGCAUGGUGGGGGUUGGAAAGUUUCGGCGGUUGGGGAUGGACUCGCGGCUUAUCAGCUUGUUGGUGGGGUAGUGGCUUACCAAGGCUUUGACGGGUAGCCGGCCUGAGAGGGUGACCGGCCACAUUGGGACGGAGAUACGGCCCAGACUCCUACGGAAGGCAGCAGUGGGGAAUAUUGCACAAUGGGCGGAAGCCUGAUGCAGCAACGCCGCGUGCGGGAUAACGGCCUUCGGGUUGUAAACCGCUUACGCCUGUGACGAAGCGUGAGUGACGGUAAUGGGUAAAGAAGCACCGGCUAACUACGUG
rnacentral:rRNA from 1 species